rnacentral:rRNA from 1 species
UACGGGGGGGGGCAAGCGUUGUUCGGAUUUACUGGGCGUAAAGGGCGCGUAGGCGGUCGUGACAAGUCACUUGUGAAAUCUCCGGGCUUAACUCGGAACGGUCAAGUGAUACUGUCGUGCUAGAGUACAGAAGGGGCAACUGGAAUUCUCGGUGUAGCGGUGAAAUGCGUAGAUAUCGAGAGGAACACCUGCGGCGAAGGCGGGUUGCUGGGCUGAUACUGACGCUGAGGCGCGAAAGCUAGGGGAGCGAACGGG